GGUGGCUCAGUUGUAGAGCUCUUGCCUCGCAUGCAUGAGGCCCUGGGUUCAAUUCCUCAGCACCA
rnacentral:tRNA from 1 species